CAGGAUACAUCCCAUCGGGAUG
rnacentral:miRNA from 1 species